GAUGAACGCUGGCGGCGUGCCUAAUACAUGCAAGUCGAGCGAAGAGACGAGGAGCUUGCUCCUCUGACGUUAGCGGCGGACGGGUGAGUAACACGUGGAUAACCUCCCUAUAAGACUGGGAUAACUUCGGGAAACCGGAGCUAAUACCGGAUAAUAUAUUGAACCGCAUGGUUCAAUAGUGAAAGACGGUUUUGCUGUCACUUAUAGAUGGACCCGCGCCGCAUUAGCUAGUUGGUAAGGUAACGGCUUACCAAGGCAACGAUGCGUAGCCGACCUGAGAGGGUGAUCGGCCACACUGGAACUGAGACACGGUCCAGACUCCUACGGGAGGCAGCAGUAGGGAAUAUUCCGCAAUGGGCGAAAGCCUGACGGAGCAACGCCGCGUGAGUGAUGAAGGUCUUCGGAUCGUAAAACUCUGUUAUUAGGGAAGAACAAAUGUGUAAGUAACUAUGCACGUCUUGACGGUACCUAAUCAGAAAGCCACGGCUAACUACGUG
rnacentral:rRNA from 1 species